rnacentral:rRNA from 1 species
GUGAACGCUGGCGGUAGGCCUAACCCAUGCAAGUCGAACGGCAGCACAGUAAGAGCUUGCUCUUACGGGUGGCGAGUGGCGGACGGGUGAGGAAUACAUCGGAAUCUACUUUUUCGUGGGGGAUAACGUAGGGAAACUUACGCUAAUACCGCAUACGACCUACGGGUGAAAGCAGGGGAUCUUCGGACCUUGCGCGAUUGAAUGAGCCGAUGUCGGAUUAGCUAGUUGGCGGGGUAAAGGUCCACCAAGGCGACGAUCCGUAGCUGGUCUGAGAGGAUGAUCAGCCACACUGGAACUGAGACACGGUCCAGACUCCUACGGGAGGCAGCAGUGGGGAAUAUUGGACAAUGGGCGCAAGCCUGAUCCAGCCAUACCGCGUGGGUGAAGAAGGCCUUCGGGUUGUAAAGCCCUUUUGUUGGGAAAGAAAAGCAGCAGGUUAAUACCCCGCUGUUCUGACGGUACCCAAAGAAUAAGCACCGGCUAACUUCGU